GACGAACGCUGGCGGCGUGCUUAACACAUGCAAGUCGAACGGAAAGGCCCUGCUUUUGUGGGGUGCUCGAGUGGCGAACGGGUGAGUAACACGUGAGUAACCUGCCCUUGACUUUGGGAUAACUUCAGGAAACUGGGGCUAAUACCGGAUAGGAGCUCCUGCUGCAUGGUGGGGGUGGGAAAGUUUCGGCGGUUGGGGCUGGACUCGCGGCUUAUCAGCUUGUUGGUGGGGUAGUGGCUUACCAAGGCUAUGACGGGUAGCCGGCCGGAGAGGGUGACCGGGCACAUUGGGACUGAGAUACGGCCCAGACUCCUACGGGAGGCAGCAGUGGGGAAUAUUGCACAAUGGGCGGAAGCCUGAUGCAGCAACGCCGCGUGCGGGAUGACGGCCUUCGGGUUGUAAACCGCUUUCGCCUGUGCCGAAGCGUGAGUGACGGUAAUGGGUAAAGAAGCACCGGCUAACUACGUG
rnacentral:rRNA from 1 species